rnacentral:rRNA from 1 species
AGUGAACGCUGGCGGUAGGCCUAACACAUGCAAGUCGAACGGCAGCACAGUAAGAGCUUGCUCUUACGGGUGGCGAGUGGCGGACGGGUGAGGAAUACAUCGGAAUCUACUUUUUCGUGGGGGAUAACGUAGGGAAACUUACGCUAAUACCGCAUACGACCUACGGGUGAAAGCAGGGGAUCUUCGGACCUUGCGCGAUUGAAUGAGCCGAUGUCGGAUUAGCUAGUUGGCGAGGUAAAGGCCCACCAAGGCGACGAUCCGUAGCUGGUCUGAGAGGAUGAUCAGCCACACUGGAACUGAGACACGGUCCAGACUCCUACGGGAGGCAGCAGUGGGGAAUAUUGGACAAUGGGCGCAAGCCUGAUCCAGCCAUACCGCGUGGGUGAAGAAGGCCUUCGGGUUGUAAAGCCCUUUUGUUGGGAAAGAAAAGCAGCGGGUUAAUACCCCGCUGUUCUGACGGUACCCAAAGAAUAAGCACCGGCUAACUUCGUG